CUGGGAGAGGAUGAGUGGGUGGAGGUUAAGUUGGAGGAGGAGCAGGAAGAAACAGAAGAAAGUUUAGGUGUCGUGGUGAGAAUGGAGGAAAUGGACAUAAUGGUUAACAUCUCUGGGGCAAAUUAGCAGAUCAAAGUUUUUGUGUGGGGGGAAAGGAAGUGUAUAUAACAGUCUUCAACUACACAGAAAACUAACUCUACACAGAAGCACUGUCUAUAUUAUAUUAAUAUAAAUUAUUAUAUUAUUUAUUUUCUAAUUCUAUAAGCCGAUAUUUAUUGUAUUAUAAGAUUUAAAAUUAUAACUAACACCUAAUCAUUAUUAGGUUGUAUAUAUAAAAGGUACUUGGAAAAUAUUUUAGUACAAGAAAUGUUUUUCAAAAAUGUAUGAAAUCAAACCAAAAACAUGAAACAAAGAUGACAAUUACAAAAACAAAUGCGUUUUAAAUUUAAAUUUCUCAAAGAUUUCUUCUUGUUAUCAUUUCAGACAUCCUUAUUUGUACCGAACCUGAUAUGCAAAAGAGAGAGAGAGAGAGAGAGAGAGAGAGAGAGAGAGAGAACCCUUACUGUUGCUGUCAGAAGCAAAGCGACCUUCCUCCAAUGUGUCUGACAGCUCGUCAUCAUAGUGGGUGGAGCUACAAAAAAAAAAAAAGGGCUGGCAGAAUACAACGUGUUCUCUGUAUACAUAGUGGAACGUGCCGCAAUCAGUUAAUAACAGACAGUGACUCGAGGAGUUGACAUUUAUCAGAGGCUGCUCUGAGUCUGACAUCAUUCAUUUCACCUGGCGUGGGAGCCGAGAAUUAAAGACAGCAAAAGGGAUUCUGACAUGCACUUUCAGAAAUCACCGAAGGAAAAGGCGUGUUACCCUCUGCCCACAGUGAAGAAACUCCUGGAGCAGAAGAGAAAGAGAGAGACCUCCUCAGCUCCUCCCUCCUGCUCUGCAGCAUCUUACACUGCAUCUGUCCCAGUGUUGGCAUCAGGACAAUCCCCCACUGCCGGAGCCAGUGCAAGCUACACAGACAUGGGAGCAGUCGGAUAUGACCGAUGGGAAGUUCCCAGCAUUCAUCAGGCACAUUCCUCGCUACAGCAGUGCAGCCCAUUCCCGUUCAUGCCUAGUUCCUCCGCUGCACAAAACUUUACCCAGACUGGACAGACGCUUGCCACAGGCUACAGCCCUCAGCAGAUGCAAGACUGCCAGGAUGCCCAGACAACACAGCAAUAUGUAAGAGCUCUAUAA
ensembl:lncRNA